rnacentral:misc_RNA from 1 species
AACGCAUAUGGCACCCGAGACCUUGGUCGAGGGUAUGUCUGCCUCAGAGUCGGCGUAAAAACAUCCCCGAGGGUACACACCCAAGGGGGAGCUGGCUUUCCCAAGGGACCCUGCGGUCCGUGGGUCUGCCGAAGGGAAGAGACGGAGGACCGGGUCUGCACCGGGCAGCCACGAUUUGGUGGGAGGAUACCUCGUAUCCGCAUCAUCGUCGUGCGCUCAAACGCCCCGCGUCGAUCCGCCCUGCAGGAAUAUCUGAAUUAUAAUCCGACCUGAGUUCAGGCAAGACCACCCGCUGAACUUAA